rfam:Lactobacillus jensenii JV-V16 chromosome, whole genome shotgun sequence.
CAAGACGUUUAGGGGUGCCGUUAGGCUGAGAUGAUACCCAUUGAACCUGGUCUAGGUAAUGCUAGUGAAGGGAAAAUGACUUUUGAUUAC